CUGUUUCUUAUCCAGUGUCGUCAUAGUCGGGCUGAGUGGGGUUAGUAUGACAGCACAUGCACACACUUUAAGGAGACCUCACAGAAGUAUUAUAGAAGACUUUACAGCUGGCACAGUUAUUUGGGGAUUGUUUUGCUAAGGAAAAAGAGGAAGAUAAAUAUUCGGGUUACAAUCUGUAAGAGCAAUGGCUGAAAUGUUGGCCACUUCACUCAUGAUGUUGAAGUUCCUCUUGGACAGGUAAACAGCUUAUCAUGUCCCUCAAGUUGUACACCAUGAAAAGCUGCCUGCUACCUACAUGCUGAGAACCCACUUGGAGUGACACAGUUCAGAUUAAAGACUUUAUUUCAACAUGGUCUGAAGUGAAUUUGAUGUUCCACUUCUUAGCUCUUUUAGUGAUUAUAUAACUUAUGAGUUGUUUAUUUUUUUUUAAAAGCCUGAAAGUACUAAACAUUUGAAGAAUGAAGUAUCACGAGAUGGGUGUGUGUGUGUGUGUGUGUGUGUGCAUAAUGGCUAAAAAAGUAAAUUUCCUUUAGCUCAUGCUCUGUAUGAAUUGGUCAUCUGUAUACAUUAAAUGUAUAUUUUUGAAGUUCUCUAUGAUAAAUCUGCAUUAGUAACUAUGGCUAUUUGAGCACUUAGGCUUCAGAUAACAUCAAUAUACCUAAAAAAUUUCAAAGCUUUUUAUAAACAUCAAUGCAGACAGUAUUAAUAUCUAUAUAAAACAGGACUUCAGUUUGAGCUUAAUUGAAUUAGUCACUUGGUAUCCGAUGUAGGAGCCUGCUCUUCAGUUUCACUUAAAAGCAAUAGGGAAGGAAAAGAAAGAGGCAUCGAAUGUUCUGUUUUGGCAUCAUUGUAUUUGUUUUACUAAUUUGCUAGUCUCAGAGCCAUUCUCAGAUGAUGCCAUUAAAAGGAGGUGGGAUAUUUGCCAUUUUCCAAGUAAUGAUAGAUGAUAGGAGUGAUCAGUCAUACCCUAUUUUGACCAAUAUAACUCAUUCUAUAGCUGUUUUUUUUGGUCCCUUUAAAGUAAAAUGAUCUUACUUCUUAUUAAAAUAAAAAGGCAUACAUCCUAUAGGGGAAAGUUCACAACACAGAGGUAGUUCCCAAAGGUUUUUAUACUCCCCUCUGAUUAAUAAUUAUUUUCACAAACUAUGCUCAGGUACACCAUGAUUUGGGUUGCUGUAUGAUCUGGAAGCCAAUGUAAAGUGAAUCAUUAUAAAGCGAAUCAUAUUUUCCCAUAGGAGUCUAGUUUUAAUUAGGGGUUUUAUUCCUGACAAAGUGCUCAGCAUCACAUAAA
rnacentral:lncRNA from 1 species